rnacentral:rRNA from 1 species
UAGGGAAUCUUCCACAAUGGGCGAAAGCCUGAUGGAGCAACGCCGCGUGUGUGAUGAAGGCUUCCGGGUCGUAAAGCACUGUUGUAUGGGAAGAACAGCUAGAAUAGGAAAUGAUUUUAGUUUGACGGUACCAUACCAGAAAGGGACGGCUAAAUACGUGCUAG